CGUAAAGUUCCACAUUGUGUUUUCCGGUGCCUGGCACGAGCAAGGCAGGCGAAAGGGCGCCCUAAAAACAUCCGCGCCGAAGAAAGGAAGAGAAGCGCGGGGAGUUUGUUCUCUUCCGCGCCUGACAGAAAUUUCGCCUCAGCGAAAUAACGAGGAGUCUUUAUUUCGCCUGCCCGCCGGCUCUCCUCCGUGUUGUAAUAGCUAGGCUUGCAGUCCUGCGCUUACGCCCGCACCACGCUUCGCUCCCCGGUCUGUCCCCGCGAGCUGCGCUCACACGUGCGUGUUGACUGGGCUGUGGAGCGCUUUAGGCGGAGAUCUAGAGACGCCCUACUUUGGUUCCCCUCGGAGGAAGGCUUGGCGGUAUAGAAGAGGAACCCUAAGCCCGAGCGAAAACGGAAGCAGGGUUUGAUUCGAACCCAGAACCUGCCUUACCAUUUGUGCAGGGAACACGUGGACGUCUGAAACAGUGUGACGCAAUAACCCCAGAGAGUUCAGCGAGGCCCAGGGGACGAGUGUAGAAACGACGGCGCGGGGGUGGCUUGCACAACAGAGAGCGGCAGGAUCGACAGUGGGAAUUCCUCUGCUGCUUGCCAAAGACAAAAUGUGCUGCAUCGCUUUCCCGAAAGCGCUGGGAUAGGAAAGGAAGGAGGCCGUCCGUUUUCGUCACACACCGCAUCUAUUCAGGAGACGCGCCCCAAAUGUAAACAGAGGAGCCGUCAGAACAGAACACAGGCCCAUUCAGCAGACGGGAGGGGCAAGCACAGCAGGAAUGGGUUUCCACGUUUUGAAGUAAGUGAAGUAAUGUGCUUUUAAAUCCAAAAAUGCCCUUAACAUGCCCUAACGGCACCACUGAAUUCUGAAAUGCCACGCAGUUGCUCCUGUUUUUCCUGAGCAAUAUUUAUGGUGCUGGUGUCCAGAAAAGCACGUCCAUUCCCAAGCCCGAUAGUUACCAACUUCAGAGCCUGCUGGAAUUAAUAAGACCAUUUUCACAAGUAAUACAGUACCCCAUACAUGUCUAUUCAGAAGUCUGUCCCAUUGACUUCAGUGGUAAGUGGGCACAGGAAUGUAGCCAAAAUUGCUUGCUCCUGUUUUAUUUAUUGAGCCUUAUAGCCUAUUCAAGGUUUGAAGGGGUAACAGCCUACUACAGAAAUCUGAUAAAUUAUUUCUGUUCAUCUGCAUUUGGAAAUAAGAUCACACAUACACAGAGAGAGAGGGUUUGCUUUGCUGAAUGUGUUCAUAGGAUUGCUGCCUCACUGUCGCUAUUAGAUGAAGUAUUUAAUAAUCAUGCCAGUUCAUCUUCCCAUGGUCAUUCUUAGGUAGCCAAAAUGGAAGGGAGGGGGUUUAACCCUGAGGUAUGCAUAAGUACAAAAACAAUCUGCAGCCCCAUGAUAACCAACCAACACAGAAUAUUGAGUGGUUGAGAGGUCAAUUCCUGGUUCACAUUGUGAUGCUAUUUUUCACUGACACCCCUCCCCCGAAGGCAAUACUCAGAAAAAUGAGUGGGGAAAUCCUAAAUGGUAACGUAGCUGGUAUUAGACAUCAAUGUGUUUAUCCCUGUCACCAAGAAAACUAGAGAGAUGUUUAACUCUGCUCUAACACAGUUAUUAGUGUGAAACAUUUAAAAAAGAACCCUGGUAAUGCAAAUUCCUAAGGAAAUGCAGUUCAUUGUUCUCAAAUUGCAGGUUAGAAGGGGCUGUAGUGGAGAGAAGUUAAGGUAGUCCUGCAGUGUUUUCCAAACACGUUGGACAUGCAAGUUGGGCUAAAACAGUAACUUACACUUCUGCCAGGUUAUCCAUUGCUUUUAUCCCCAUAUUAAAAGUUAGAGAAUUGUAUUAAACAAUUCUGCUGUGUAGUUCACAGUUAUACCCCUGCGGUAGGUAGGAGAGCUCUUCUGAGAGCAGGGAUUCCUGUCUUUGAGCUAGCUUUUUUUUUAACAACAACAACAACUUUUCCCAUCCACAUCAGCCAUAGCCUCAGAUAACACACACACACAUGCAUGGGAUACACUGCAACAUUUUGUUACAGAGCUUCACUUGUUCCCUUGGCUUCUGAAGUUCCUUCAUGGAAAUGCUUGCUAUAUACAAUCUUCAUAAUAUGGAAUGAAGCUCUGACUACAACUGAUCAGUUUUACUACUUGGGUCCAUCCAAUAUGCAUUUGUGAAGAAGCAGAAAAGAGACGUCUCUUUUAGCACUAGCGUGUGUCUUGACAUUUUUAGCAAGAACAACCAGAAGACAGAGCAGCCUGGAUCUCUGCCCAUCUAGUUCUCAAUGUUCAGCUGAAGUGGCCUUUUCCUCCCCCAGGCCCCGCCAGAGUGCUUCUCAGGAACCAUCUUGCUAUGGGAGGAGAGAAUCUGGUUUUUUUCUUUACUUUCUUGUCUUUGCUGCUUUAUUAUAGUUUUGAUAUUUCUAUGUAAACCACUUUGUGAGAUUUGCCGGAAAUAAAAAGCUCAGAACCGUU